rnacentral:misc_RNA from 1 species
AACGCACGAGACCUGCGGACCUGCGGAGGGAUCAUUAUAGAGUUUUUAACUCCCAAACCCAUGUGAACUUACCUUUGUUGCCUCGGCGGAGCCUACCCGGUACCUACCCUGUAGCGCCCCGCCGGUGGACUUCUAAACUAUUGUUAUUUUAAUGAUAUCUGAGAGUCUUAUUUUAAUAAGUCAAAACUUUUAGCAAUGGAUCUCU